rnacentral:rRNA from 1 species
ACUCCUACGGGAGGCAGCAGUGGGGAAGUAUUGCACAAUGGGGAAACCCGUAGCUGNAGCCAUGCCGCGUGUGUGAAGAAGGCCUUCGGGUUGUAAAGCACUUUCAGUAGGGAGGAAGGUAGUGUAGUUAACACCUGCAUUAUUUGACGUUACCUACAGAAGAAGCACCGGCUAACUCCGUGCCAGCAGCCGUGGUAAUACGGAGGGUGCAAGCGUUAAUCGGAAUUACUGGGCGUAAAGCGUGCGCAGGCGGUCUGUUAAGCGAGAUGUGAAAGCCCCGGGCUCAACCUGGGAACUGCAUUUCGAACUGGCAGACUAGAGUCUUGUAGAGGGGGUAGAAUCCAGGUGUAGCGGUGAAAUGCGUAGAGAUCUGGAGGAAUACCGGUGGCGAAGGCGGCCCCCUGGCACAAAGACUGACGCUCAGGCACGAAAGCGUGGGGAGCAAACAGGAUUAGAUACCCUGGUAGGAUAG